CUCCCCGCGCGGCGCUCUGGGAAGGGGCUUCCGGGCUCCCUCUGCGCAUGUGCAGCCGUAGCCCCGCCUCCUCCCUCGUCUUCUCCAGACUCCGCGGGAGCCGUUAGGUACCUCAGUCUCCUCGGGAAGUGGAGGGCGCGCCCGGGAGGCUGUGCUGCUGUCAGACGUGUCCAUCACCACAUGUGACAUUAAUGACAUCAUCCUGACCUCACAGGAUCCCAGAAUAAUGGUGCUUGAAGGAUUUUCCAAAGUCGUCUACUUUAACUCUUGAAAACUUUAAAGACAUUGGGCCUGAAAGUUUCAGUGACUUGUCCAGGGAAACCUGGUUUAUGACAGGAGGAAAACUGCAGUUCCCUCUCAGAUAAGUCACCAAAAGCAUCUUAUCAAAGGGGCCUUCUGAGAAAUACAUCCCAGCUGAAACGAACAAAAGUUCCUGCCUUCAAGCAUCCCAUCUCUUUUCUGUGAAUUUUCUGUACCAAGAGCUGAACCACAGUUCUCUACACUCGCCCAGGAGCCACAGAAAGUGAACAUCCCUCAGGUGUCAGUGUCAUUCAAGGACGUGAGUGUGGAGUUCCCCAGGAGGAGUGGCGGCAGAUGGACUCUGCACAGAGGACCCUGUACAGAGACGUGAUGAUGCUGGAGAACUACAACCGCCUCGUCUCUGUGGGCGUGGGCUUGCUGGGUCUUCUGGUAAAUUUAUAUGUAACUGUGUGAGAAGCAACCAAAUGUGUCCAAGCUGGCUUUACUGUUUUUCAUGCCUAUGAACAAUGAGAGUUCUUAUUGCUGUCUGGUUACCAACAGAUGCUUUGGUAAGUCUUACUAUUUUUAACCGUUCUAGUUGGUGUCUCGUAUCUUGUUGAGUUUUCAUUUGCAUUUCCCUGGUGACUGACAGUGCUGAGCCCCUUUUUGUGUGCUUUUUUACUAUUCAUAAUUCUCCUUGAAUGAAAUGUAUGGUCCAAUCUUUAGCCCAUUUUUUUUAGUUUAGUUUGGUUUUUUGGUCUUAUUGUUGAGUUGAAAGUUCAGAACUUUAUCAAAUAUUAUGUUUUGCAAACAUAUUUUAUGCAUCUCUGGCUUUCCUUUUUAAGAAGAAAAUGUUUUCAGGUUGAUUUUGGUUUUAACGUAUACUUUAAAAACUUUUUAUAUGACAUAAUUAUAGCUUCACAGGAAUUGGCACAGCUGUAGUCUUCACAGGUUUCUCUCAACAAUUAUGUUUUCUAUAACCAUAAUAUAGUCUCAACACCAGUAAAGAGACACUGGUACAAUGUGUGUAAAUGGCUCUGUGCCAUUUUAUCACGUGUGGAGAUUUGUGUAACCACCAUCACAAUCAAGAUACAGAACUAUUCUAUCACCACAAAGGGUUCUCUUGUGCUGCCUCUUUAUAAUCAUACCUGUUCCUCUCCCACACCUUCUCUAAUCCUGCCCACUACGUAUCUGCCCUUCAUCUCUAAUUUUGCCAUUUCAGGUUAUAUAAAUGGAAUCAUACAGUAGUUGAUGUGAGGUUGAGAUCCAUCUAACUUAUAGUGUGUAUCAGUCAUUUAUUCUAUUACUGCAUAGUGUUCCACUGUGUUAAUGUAUCAUAGUUUGUUUAGCCAUUCACCUAUUGAAGGAUAUUUUGGAUGUUUCUAAUCUUUGGCUAUUAUAAAUAAAACUGCUGUGAACGUCCACAUUCAGGUUUUUGUGUAAACAUAAAUUAUUAUUUCUCUGGAAUAAAUACCCAGGGGUGUGAUUAGGGUUGUAUGUUUUGUUUGUUAAGAAACUUCCAAACUAUUUUCCAGAGUGGCAGUACUAUUUUGCAUUUCCACCAGCAUUGUAUGAGAAAUCCAGUUACUUCCUGUCCUUUCUAGUACUUGGCAUUAUCACUAUUUUUUCUAUUUGUGGUUGUAAUAGGUGUAUAGUGUUAUCUCCUCAUGGUCUUAAUUUGCAUUUCCUUAAUGGCUAGUGAUGUUAAAUAUCUUUUCAUAUGUUCCUAUGCUGUCUGUAUAUCCUUUAACAGUAAGAUGUCUGUUCAUGGCUUUUGUGCAUUUUUUUCCAUCUUUAUUGAUGUAUAAUGACAAGUAAAACUUGUGUAUAUUUAAGGGGUACAUCUUGAUGUUUUGAUAUAUGUAUACAUUGUGAAUUAAUUGCCACAAUUGAGCUAAUUAACAUAUUUAUCACCUGACAUUGUUAUCUUUUUUCUUUGUGGUGAGAACACUUAAGAUCUCCUGGCACAUUUCAAGAAUACAAUAUGGUAUUGUUAACUGUAGUCAUAUUGCUAUACAUUAGAUCUCCACAACUUAUUCAUCUUGCAUAACUGAACUCUGUACCCCUUGACCAACAUCCCCCCAUUCCUCAGCAAACCAGCCCCUGGAAACCACCAUUCUUCUCUCUGUUUCUCAGUUUGACUGUUUAAGAUUCCGCUGAGAUCAUGCAAUAUUUGUCUUUCUGUGUCUUGAUUAUGUUUUGGCUAACAGUAUUCCAUUGUGUGUAUGUAUACCCCAUCUGCUUUAAUCAUUCAUCCAUCGGUGGAUAUUUAGAUUGUUUUUAUAUCUUGGCUAUUGUGAAUAAUGCUGCAGUGAACAUGGGAGUGCAGAUAGCUUUUUGAGAUCUUGAUUUCAUUUCCUUUGGAUAUACACCCAGAAGUAAAAUUGCUGGAUCAUAGGGUAGUUUUAUUUUCAGUGUUUUCAGGAGCCUUCAUACUGUUUUCCAAUGGCUCUACCAAUUUUCAUUCCUAUCACAGUGUACCAGGGUUCCCUUUUCUCCACAUCCUUACUGACACUUCUUGUCAUUUUCUUUUUGAUAAUCUCCAUUUUCUGACAGGUGUGAGGUGAUAUCUCAUUGUGGUUUUGAUCUGCAUUUGCCUGACAAUUAGUGAUAUUGAGCGUAUUUUCAUAUACUUGGUGGCCAUUUGUAUGGCUUCUUUUGAGAAAUGUCAACUCAGUUCCUUGACUCAUUUUUUAAUCUGGUUGUUUGCUUUUUUGCCAUUCAGUUCUAUGGCUUCCUUUUAUAUGUUGGAUAUUUACCCCUUAUAAUAAUACUUAUAAUUUACAAAUAUUUUGUCCCAUUCUGUAAGUUGCCUUUUCACUCUGUUGAUUGUUUCCUUUGUUGUCCAGA